GUCAAUUCCAGAAGGAAAGGUAAUAAGAACCAGGAUGACUGUCAGAUAAAUGGGGAGCAGAGUUGGUGCCAUGACGCAUCCUUGCUUGACACAAUUUUGCAUGACAAAUGGAUCUGUCUCCAACCUGCUACAUUGAAUGGUCACGGUCAUCUGCUCAUGGAGAAGCCUCAGGACUUUGAUGACUUUUCUGGACAUCCAAAUUUGGCCUUACUUUCCACAAGGCUUCACAUCUGAUGGAGUCAAAGGUGUUAGUAAGGUCAGUGAAGGCUAUAUACAGGUCUUCAUGUUGUGCCUGACACUUUUCUUGGACCUGGUGGGAAACGAAGAUCAUGUCGUUUGCUCCAUGGUAUUGUCUGAAACCACACAGAGAUUCCAGCAGGACUCCCUCAGAACGAGGUAUAAGACAAUUUGAGGAGGAUGUGGUUGAGGAUUUUCCCUGCUAUGGAAAGGGAAGUGAUAUCUUGGUAAUUCCCAUGCACAAACUUAUUUCCUUUCUUGAAGAUUAGUCACAAUGUUGGCAUUCAUCAAGUCUCCAUGAAUCUCUUUGCUGUCCCAAAUUUGAAGAAUAAAUUUGUGGCGUCUCAGAACCAGUUUCUCACCAUCAGCCUUGUAGAUUUCAGCAGGUAUGCCAUCUGGUCUACUAGCCUUGUUGCUAUUGGCUUCCUUGGUGACAUGCUAGAUUUCUUCUAGGAUAUGAGGGUUUGUAAAGGUUCCCCUUUCAGACUGUUGGGGCACAGAUUUAAUAGUGGUAUCUGCCACAUUUGACUGAUGGUUCAGGAGUGCCUCAAAGUGCUCUUUCCAUCUAGCUUGGAAUCUUAGAUUCAUCAUCUUUGAAGAGCAUCAAGCCAUCCUACAAAGGAAGUAAGACUGUGGGAAACUGAGUUAUAGAUGGCUUUUGUUGCCUAGAAAAAUCUAUGCAUGUCAUGUUUGUCAGCAUAGAGUUGUAUCUCUUUGGCUUUAUCCUGCCACCACUGAUUUUUUUUAUUUCCUGGACCCUUCUUUGUGCUUUGAGGAGCUGAUAUGUCUCCUUCUUCUGCUGAGAUGAGGUGCUAUAUUGCCAAGCAGAAUAAGCCCUUCUCUUUUGGUUGAGAAGGCUUGGAUCUAGACGUUGCUUUCAUCAAACUAGUCUUGGUGUUGACAGGUGAUAUAGCCACUGGAUUGGAUUCAGCACAGGCCAUAUGGAUGUUGGUUUUAAACCCCUUCCAGCUUUGGAUGCAGGAAUCACCAGGACAAGCACUAGGAUAAUUUCAAAGUUUUAUCUAGGGAGACCGUUGCAGAAUUUGGAGAGAAAAUAAGAAUACAGCUGUCAUGUCACCUUUAGUUAAUCACCUGGCAGAACUCUGUCUUGAGAAACCAGUUAUUGCAAAUGUGAUGCUGAGCUGGAAAACUCGCUUCUACGUCAGCUCCAACCAAUAAAUUGAAAGAUGAGUUUUAUACCUGUGUUACCCAAGUGAUGGCAUGAUUAUAUUAAGCUAAGUGCUUCCUACAGAGUAAGUAUCCAAGGUAAAACUCUUGGAAUGACUACAGUGUCUGAGGUAUACUUGUGUUUCCCAAAGAAGUCUAGUUUUAGUUAUGUACAAUUUACACUGAAUUGCUAACCUGAGACUAGAGCAUUGUGGUUAGAGAAAAAAAAUCCAUUAACUAGGUCUCACACUGUUUAAAUUAUUGUGAAAACUCCAAAUGUUUCAGAGUUCAGCCUAUAAACAUUGCACAAAUUCUAUGGUCAAGAGCACUGACGAGAGGAAAAAGAAUCUUUGAAUUGAUAUGCGAGCUAAAAAUGUUAUCUCUCUUUUAAAGCUUUGGUUGAAAUAAUGUAACAGCGUGGAGUCCUGGAAAAUUUCUAGGGAAAUUAGACUUACUUAAGAAUAAUUACAUGCAUAUUUAGUUUUGGGUUUUGUGCAUGAUUUUCUUAUUUAUAAAUGGCAAAGAUCGACAGACUACCAUCCUGCCAACGUGACUCUGAAUUGAAUUGUCAGUCUUUGAUAAUCAGUUAACUUCUUUACUUUUCCAAGUUCUCUUGUACAAAUUGUUGGGUUAAAUUGAAAUGAGCAGCCCCUAAUUCCAUUGACCAAUGAGCUUGAUUGGAGAUGGGAUCCAUAGUUCCAUAAUGAUAUGAAAAUCACCUGUCACUACUAAUACUGAAGUAGGGAAUUUUGCCUUUAUAAUGAGAUUAUGGUAAGAUUUUGAAGGAACUGAGCAUAGCUGUUUCUUGAAAGCUGUUACUUCCCUUGUUGAAUUCAAUUUUGAUACUGCAAACAGCUUAAUUGUUAUUUUUGUCUUCUAUAGUAUUUCUGUUGUUUUAAGUACUCUGCUGGCUGAUAAAGCAUACGUUUGUAUUAGUUUUCCAAUGUAUAUAUUCACUAAAGGAUACUGAACCUAAGAACAGUGAGAAAUUUA